GCUUACAGCCAUAUCACGUUGAAAGCACCGGUUCUCGUCCGAUCACCGAAGUUAAGCAACGUCAAGCCUAGAUAGUACUCAGAUGGGUAACCGCUUGGGAAACCUAGGUGCUGUAAACG
rnacentral:rRNA from 1 species